rnacentral:rRNA from 1 species
AUUGAACGCUGGCGGCAUGCCUUACACAUGCAAGUCGAACGGCAGCACGGGGGCAACCCUGGUGGCGAGUGGCGAACGGGUGAGUAAUACAUCGGAACGUGCCCCGUAGCGGGGGACAACCAGUCGAAAGACUGGCUAAUACCGCAUACGCUCCACGGAGGAAAGCAGGGGAUCGCAAGACCUUGCACUAUGGGAGCGGCCGAUGCCCGAUUAGCUAGUUGGUGCGGUAAUGGCGUACCAAGGCGACGAUCGGUAGCCGGCCUGAGAGGGCGGACGGCCACACUGGCACUGAGAGACGGGCCAGACUCCUACGGGAGGCAGCAGUGGGGAAUUUUGGGCAAUGGGCGCAAGCCUGACCCAGCAACGCCGCGUGAAGGACGAAAUCCCUCUGGGAU